rnacentral:lncRNA from 1 species
UUGUGAAACAGAGAGUAGCAUGUAGUGCUGGGGUGCCCCUCAUUGUUCCAUUCUUGUGAGGCUGUGGGUUCAUGUCUUCAACCAGUUGCUUGUGAGGCUUUAGGGUGGAGCAUGUUGCAUUUUGAGGAAUUCUGUGGCGCUUGCACACUCUUGUGUUUGUUUGGUGUUUCUCGCUGUCUCUGGAUCUGUUGAGCUGAUAGUAUUGCAAAGCAAAAAGAACUACAUUACUCUUUGUUUACAUAGUUUUAAGCAUUAAUGUCUGAAUAAAGAUUUUUACUUUGAACAGUUA